AAGAGGAGACAAGAGAAUGACAACAUUACAUGAUCAGUGCACAUGUCGAAGGUGAAAUAUUUGAUCAUCAGUUGUUCAGUUUUUGUUUUCAAAACACAGAGGUGACUCGGUUUACAAUAAAUCAACGAUCAAAAUUUUCACAUCUGAAACAACGAAUAGAAAAGAAAUUGCAGUGCAAUAAUAUGGGUCGGAUCAUCUAUAAAAAUCCGGUUUGGUUUGCAGAAAACCAGGUAAAAUUUUAUCAGAAGAAGAUUCGAGAUGAUGAUGAUGUUC
rnacentral:lncRNA from 1 species